UUUCUGAUUUGUAGCGAGCUUGAGAGAGAAGACGACGAAAGUGGAAUGGAUUCCGAUUCCAAAGGAAUCCACGGACGAACGUGAGCUACUGGUCCACAAUCAAGCACCGCUCCGGCAAGUUUGGUUAAGGGGAUUGGCUCGUAGCGGCCGCGCCGUGUGACGCCAACCAAUCAGUCCUGUCCCUUCACAAUUCACAUGGGUUCGGAGCAGCAGCAGCCAGCCAGAGCCAGAGCCAGAUCCAGAGCCAAUGCCAUGGCGUACGUACAUCAAACUCAGAAGAAGCUCUCAGAAAUUUAUGCAAAUUCCAAUGCCAAUUUUAGAGCCUCACUCGUUUCCGCAUCAUUUGGAGCGCCCAAUCCACGCGCGGCCUUUCAACACUCUGUACCGGUCUCCACUGUAAUGACAUGACGACCAAUAUUAUAAUAUAUACUCCCGCGUCAUCACGCUUCACAUUUUUUAGAAGCGUGUCAAAGUUCUUCUCUACCGGACCACGACUCCCUUCGCCUCCUCCUCUGGGAUUCGCAUUGCCACCACCUUCUUCCUCCGUUGUUCGCUCUUUUUCCCGCUCUUCAGACAUGGACGCUACAGCGGGUCUAAACUUGUAUCCAUCGCACCGCACUAAAACUAUUCAUCUGGUGAGGCAUGCCCAGGGAUUUCAUAAUGUGGCAGGUGACAAGGACAUUAACGAAUAUCUAUCUUAUGAUUAUUUGGAUGCUCAACUUACCCCUCUAGGAUGGCAACAGGUUGACAAUCUGCACAAACAUGUACAAUCAUGUGAACUUUUUAAGAGAAUUGAGUUAGUCAUCACAUCCCCCUUGUCAAGGACUAUCCAAACAGCGGUUGGAACCUUUGGUGGUGAAGGAUACUCGGAUGGUAUAAAUGUUCCUCCCUUAAUGGUGGCAAAUGCAGGGGAUAGCAAUCGUCCAGCAAUAUCAAGCUUGAAUUGCCCACCAUUUUUGGCAGUAGAGCUUUGCCGGGAACAUUUGGGUGUUCAUCCAUGUGACAAGAGGCGAAGCAUCAGCGAGUAUCGGUCUCUUUUCCCUGCGAUUGAUUUUUCAAUGAUUGAACAUGACGACGAUAUUCUGUGGAAGCCAGACAUCAGAGAGACCAAUGACGAAGUUGCUGAUAGGGGACUGAAGUUUCUGAAAUGGCUGUGGACUCGGAAGGAGAAGGAGAUUGCAGUUGUCAGCCAUAGUGGAUUCUUAUUUCAUUCAUUGGGUGCAUUUGGAAAUGACUGUCAUCCAUCUAUAAAGGAUGAAAUCUGCAAACAUUUUGCCAACUGUGAGCUUCGGUCCUUUGUUCUUGUUGAUAGGAGUAUGACCGGGUCAGAAUCCUCGACCACCAAUUUCCCGGGAGGAUUACCGCAAGGGCUCGAUCUUCCCAGUGAUGUUGCAGCUGAGAGCCAUCCAGAGAUGGGAGUUACAAAUGAAGACGUGGCUUGAAGAAGAUACAUGACAUCAUUUUGAGAAACGUAUGGAACAUUAUCAUAGGCAGUAGUUAAGGAUUGUUGAGGCUUCUUGCUGCAACUGCAUUUAGAGGUACACGUUUUUGUCUGUAACUCAUACAUCAGUUGCUUUGCAGGCCUGCUUUUAUACCAAAUUGAUGAUACCUCAUAAUAAAAUGAAGAUCAUUUUAUAUUCAGUAUAAUUCUUGUCUUCCAAUAGAAGGAACUGUGAUUGCUUUAUUAGGAAAAAUGAGGCAUAAUUAUAAACUCGUGCGAAGUAAUAGUGUACCGAAAGGUUUCAAAAUGACAUGAAUGGUUUUAGCCAUAUGCCCCAUUUGAAGAGGAACAUAUUCUUCUUGUCUA